rnacentral:rRNA from 1 species
UACGAAGGUGGCAAGCGUUGUUCGGAUUCACUGGGCGUACAGGGUGUGUAGGCGGUUUGGUAAGCCUUCUGUUAAAGCUUCGGGCCCAACCCGGAAAGCGCAGAGGGUACUGCCAGGCUAGAGGACGGGAGAGGAGCACGGAAUUCCCGGUGUAGCGGUGAAAUGCGUAGAGAUCGGGAGGAAGGCCGGUGGCGAAGGCGGCGCUCUGGAACGUUACUGACGCUGAGACACGAAAGCGUGGGGAGCAAACAGG